GUACUAGUUUGUGCCUAAAAGCUUGGCACAAGUUGUCUACACUUUAUGACAUUUUGUUGAACUUUGCUUUACAUAUUACCGGAGGUAAAUUUAAAAUAUAUUGCUUAAAAUUGAAGGAGAAAAGUUUUAAAGUAAAGAACAGUUUAAGAAUAAUUGCAUAUAAAAUAUUAUUUACAGAAGAUCCUAAAUACAUUAAAUAAAUUAAUAAACUAUCAAAUAAAAUAAAACUGAGGAUUUUCUUAUUCCAAGAUAAGGUUACCUUAGCCGUAUUUGGCGCACAUUUUUGGAAUUUUGGGUCCUCAAUGCUCUUCAACUUUGUACUUGUUUGGCUUUACAAUACUAUUUACACGACUGGGUCGAUGCCACUGCUGGUGGACGUUUCGUCCCCUAGGGUAUCACCAGCCCAGUAGUCAGCACUUCGGUGUUGACACGAAUAUCAAUUAUAUGAUCAUUUUUUAUAAAUUUCCUGUUACAAAACUUUGAAUAUGCACUUGCAUACAGAAAUAUAAUAUAGUAAAUAUGAUUAAACUGUUCGGUCAAAGACUGAAG
rnacentral:lncRNA from 1 species